rnacentral:rRNA from 1 species
AGAGUUUGAUCCUGGCUCAGAUUGAACGCUGGCGGCAUGCUUUACACAUGCAAGUCGGACGGCAGCACAGGGAAGCUUGCUUCUUGGGUGGCGAGUGGCGAACGGGUGAGUAACAUAUCGGAACGUACCGAGCAGUGGGGGAUAACUAAUCGAAAGAUUAGCUAAUACCGCAUAUUUUCUGAGGAAGAAAGCAGGGGACCUUUGGGCCUUGCGCUGUUUGAGCGGCCGAUAUCUGAUUAGCUAGUUGGUGGGGUAAAGGCCUACCAAGGCGACGAUCAGUAGCGGGUCUGAGAGGAUGAUCCGCCACACUGGGACUGAGACACGGCCCAGACUCCUACGGGAGGCAGCAGUGGGGAAUUUUGGACAAUGGGCGCAAGCCUGAUCCAGCCAUGCCGCGUGUCUGAAGAAGGCCUUCGGGUUGUAAAGGACUUUUGUCAGGGAAGAAAAGGGCGGGGUUAAUACCCCUGUCUGAUGACGGUACCUGAAGAAUAAGCACCGGCUAACUACGUGCCAGCAGCCGCGGUAAUACGUAGGGUGCGAGCGUUAAUCGGAAUUACUGGGCGUAAAGCGGGCGCAGACGGUUACUUAAGCAGGAUGUGAAAUCCCCGGGCUCAACCUGGGAACUGCGUUCUGAACUGGGUGACUAGAGUGUGUCAGAGGGAGGUAGAAUUCCACGUGUAGCAGUGAAAUGCGUAGAGAUGUGGAGGAAUACCGAUGGCGAAGGCAGCCUCCUGGGAUAACACUGACGUUCAUGCCCGAAAGCGUGGGUAGCAAACAGGAUUAGAUACCCCGGUAGUCCAA